UGGGGAAUAUUGGACAAUGGGCGAAAGCCUGUUCCAGCCAUGCCGCGUGUGUGAAGAAGGUCUUCGGAUUGUAAAGCACUUUAAGUUGGGAGGAAGGGCAGUAAGCGAAUACCUUGCUGUUUUGACGUUACCGACAGAAUAAGCACCGGCUAACUCUGUGCCAGCAGCCGCGGUAAUACAGAGGGUGCAAGCGUUAAUCGGAAUUACUGGGCGUAAAGCGCGCGUAGGUGGUUCGUUAAGUUGAAUGUGAAAGCCCCGGGCUCAACCUGGGAACUGCAUCCAAAACUGGCGAGCUAGAGUAGGGCAGAGGGUGGUGGAAUUUCCUGUGUAGCGGUGAAAUGCGUAGAUAUAGGAAGGAACACCAGUGGCGAAGGCGACCACCUGGGCUCAUACUGACACUGAGGUGCGAAAGCAUGGGGAGCAAACAGG
rnacentral:rRNA from 1 species